rnacentral:lncRNA from 1 species
AUGCAACUAGAGCAAGGUGAAGAGACUUUAUCUGAUUGCCUCUGGCAUUUUCUCCAAAGCCACUUGUUUCUCAGUAGCAGAAAUAUCUUGCCCAAUUGGGAUGCAAUAAUUUCAAAGCAAGUAAAGGAAACUGCAGCUGCUCAGCUGAGUCAGCCAAAGGUGCUGGAGCCUUCUCGUGGUAUCUACAAGCUGAGGAUGGAGGAUGACACUUGUCAGUCUCUCCCCCUGUGGGCCCCACUCAGUGUUGUGCAGAUCCUUCUGGUUUUCCCUAUCCCAUGGUGGCUCCCCGUGGAAGCAAUGUGUUUUGAAACAGAACCAGAGAUUUAUUGGCCUGCUGGGGUGGGCAAAGGCACACCUUGGUCAUGUGAAAUACCUGCCUUACUCUGACUGCAGCAGAGCUGAAGAGUUAACAGAUCACAGACCUGGCCUGUUCUGUCAUUUGAGCAAUAUAGCUAAGCUUUAGGACACAGAAUAAAAUUGGUAUCUGCCGUUAUUUGGCCUUUUGA